CUGAAUGCGGUGCUAUACAUGCAGUCGAGCGGACAGAUGGGAGCUUGCUCCCUGAUGUUAGCGGCGGACGGGUGAGUAACACGUGGGUAACCUGCCUGUAAGACUGGGAUAACUCCGGGAAACCGGGGCUAAUACCGGAUGGUUGUUUGAACCGCAUGGUUCAAACAUAAAAGGUGGCUUUCGGCUACCACUUACAGAUGGACCCGCGGCGCAUUAGCUAGUUGGUGAGGUAACGGCUCACCAAGGCAACGAUGCGUAGCCGACCUGAGAGGGUGAUCGGCCACACUGGGACUGAGACACGGCCCAGACUCCUACGGGAGGCAGCAGUAGGGAAUCUUCCGCAAUGGACGAAAGUCUGACGGAGCAACGCCGCGUGAGUGAUGAAGGUUUUCGGAUCGUAAAGCUCUGUUGUUAGGGAAGAACAAGUACCGUUCGAAUAGGGCGGUACCUUGACGGUACCUAACCAGAAAGCCACGGCUAACUACGUGCCAGAACCCGCGGUA
rnacentral:rRNA from 1 species